GAUGCGGCACCGCCCGCGCCCCCGGCUCCGCGCGGCGGUCCCCGGGGUGCCGCUCCCCCCGCCCUCGCGUGUGCUGCCGCCGCGACCCGCGCCACGUUGCGUGCCGAGCGCCGCGCCCGCCGCUAAUCCCGGUUGGGCAGCGACGGGGGCCGCAGGGGCCGGGCCCGCCCCCCCGCCCCUUGAACCUCUUCGGGAUGCACGGCGAGGCCGGGGGUAAGGGGAGGGGGUGCAGAUGGCGUGUCUUGCGUGGGAAUGUCACCCGAGCCAUCGCCCCGCAGCGCAAAGCAAACAUGCACUCGCCCGUGGCGGACGCUCAAAGGCUGCCCAAAAAUUGGAUCAACAGAAUGAUUCCUGUCUCACAGCAAAACAGAGGUGGGCUGCUCAGACAGUGGCAGACCUGGAAGAGGGUCCGGAUCUCUGGAUUCUUCAGUUGAUUUCAGCCUGCUUGAUUACAGCUUCCUUGCCUUGUAGUAAGUGUAUGAUCAGUAAUUCUGUCCAGGUGGUAAAGGCAAUAAGACAUACAGGAUUCAUCAUUUAUGCUUUCAAACCUUUAAAGCUCCCUGUGGAAUGACUGCCUUCUGACAGUUCUUCUUCGUAGGGAUCAGAAAAUAGUCCCUUCCCUGAUUUCUUGAAAACUGGUGUUUCCCAGCCGUGUAUAUCAUCAGCAAAUCAAAUAGAGACAAAUCUGGUCUCUCAUUUCCAGUUAAGCCUGUCGUGUUAUAUGGCACUACAUAAUAUGUCAAGAAACCAGUGCAGCUGAUCUGGCGUGUCAUUGCAGCAAAAGGAAAUUAAAGCAAAUACAGAUUUAUGAAAGAAGGCCCAUUUUUGGCACCAUGCAUGAAUUUCCUGGCUGACUGCUAAUACCAAAGUGCAGAUCAUCUAUUUGAUGUUAGCAAAGGGAAAUCCCAGCAAUUCAUGCCAUAGCAUUAAAACACAGGAUUCUAAAAAUAACAUUAAAGAGACGGACUGGAAACAACAAUAAAAACUAAAAAGAAAACCUUG